rnacentral:rRNA from 1 species
UUAAGCGACUAAGCGUACACGGUGGAUGCCCUGGCAGUCAGAGGCGAUGAAGGACGUGCUAAUCUGCGAUAAGCGUCGGUAAGGUGAUAUGAACCGUUAUAACCGGCGAUUUCCGAAUGGGGAAACCCAGUGUGUUUCGACACACUAUCAUUAACUGAAUCCAUAGGUUAAUGAGGCGAACCGGGGGAACUGAAACAUCUAAGUACCCCGAGGAAAAGAAAUCAACCGAGAUUCCCCCAGUAGCGGCGAGCGAACGGGGAGCAGCCCAGAGCCUGAAUCAGUGUGUGUGUUAGUGGAAGCGUCUGGAAAGGCGCGCGAUACAGGGUGACAGCCCCGUACACAAAAAUGCACAUGCUGUGAGCUCGAUGAGUAGGGCGGGACACGUGGUAUCCUGUCUGAAUAUGGGGGGACCAUCCUCCAAGGCUAAAUACUCCUGACUGACCGAUAGUGAACCAGUACCGUGAGGGAAAGGCGAAAAGAACCCCGGCGAGGGGAGUGAAAAAGAACCUGAAACCGUGUACGUACAAGCAGUGGGAGCACGCUUAGGCGUGUGACUGCGUACCUUUUGUAUAAUGGGUCAGCGACUUAUAUUCUGUAGCAAGGUUAACCGAAUAGGGGAGCCGAAGGGAAACCGAGUCUUAACUGGGCGUUAAGUUGCAGGGUAUAGACCCGAAACCCGGUGAUCUAGCCAUGGGCAGGUUGAAGGUUGGGUAACACUAACUGGAGGACCGAACCGACUAAUGUUGAAAAAUUAGCGGAUGACUUGUGGCUGGGGGUGAAAGGCCAAUCAAACCGGGAGAUAGCUGGUUCUCCCCGAAAGCUAUUUAGGUAGCGCCUCGUGAAUUCAUCUCCGGGGGUAGAGCACUGUUUCGGCAAGGGGGUCAUCCCGACUUACCAACCCGAUGCAAACUGCGAAUACCGGAGAAUGUUAUCACGGGAGACACACGGCGGGUGCUAACGUCCGUCGUGAAGAGGGAAACAACCCAGACCGCCAGCUAAGGUCCCAAAGUCAUGGUUAAGUGGGAAACGAUGUGGGAAGGCCCAGACAGCCAGGAUGUUGGCUUAGAAGCAGCCAUCAUUUAAAGAAAGCGUAAUAGCUCACUGGUCGAGUCGGCCUGCGCGGAAGAUGUAACGGGGCUAAACCAUGCACCGAAGCUGCGGCAGCGACGCUUAUGCGUUGUUGGGUAGGGGAGCGUUCUGUAAGCCUGUGAAGGUGUGCUGUGAGGCAUGCUGGAGGUAUCAGAAGUGCGAAUGCUGACAUAAGUAACGAUAAAGCGGGUGAAAAGCCCGCUCGCCGGAAGACCAAGGGUUCCUGUCCAACGUUAAUCGGGGCAGGGUGAGUCGACCCCUAAGGCGAGGCCGAAAGGCGUAGUCGAUGGGAAACAGGUUAAUAUUCCUGUACUUGGUGUUACUGCGAAGGGGGGACGGAGAAGGCUAUGUUGGCCGGGCGACGGUUGUCCCGGUUUAAGCGUGUAGGCUGGUUUUCCAGGCAAAUCCGGAAAAUCAAGGCUGAGGCGUGAUGACGAGGCACUACGGUGCUGAAGCAACAAAUGCCCUGCUUCCAGGAAAAGCCUCUAAGCAUCAGGUAACAUCAAAUCGUACCCCAAACCGACACAGGUGGUCAGGUAGAGAAUACCAAGGCGCUUGAGAGAACUCGGGUGAAGGAACUAGGCAAAAUGGUGCCGUAACUUCGGGAGAAGGCACGCUGAUAUGUAGGUGAAGUGCCUUGCUGGUGGAGCUGAAAUCAGUCGAAGAUACCAGCUGGCUGCAACUGUUUAUUAAAAACACAGCACUGUGCAAACACGAAAGUGGACGUAUACGGUGUGACGCCUGCCCGGUGCCGGAAGGUUAAUUGAUGGGGUCAGCGCAAGCGAAGCUCUUGAUCGAAGCCCCGGUAAACGGCGGCCGUAACUAUAACGGUCCUAAGGUAGCGAAAUUCCUUGUCGGGUAAGUUCCGACCUGCACGAAUGGCGUAAUGAUGGCCAGGCUGUCUCCACCCGAGACUCAGUGAAAUUGAACUCGCUGUGAAGAUGCAGUGUACCCGCGGCAAGACGGAAAGACCCCGUGAACCUUUACUAUAGCUUGACACUGAACAUUGAGCCUUGAUGUGUAGGAUAGGUGGGAGGCUUUGAAGUGUGGACGCCAGUCUGCAUGGAGCCGACCUUGAAAUACCACCCUUUAAUGUUUGAUGUUCUAACGUUGACCCGUAAUCCGGGUUGCGGACAGUGUCUGGUGGGUAGUUUGACUGGGGCGGUCUCCUCCUAAAGAGUAACGGAGGAGCACGAAGGUUGGCUAAUCCUGGUCGGACAUCAGGAGGUUAGUGCAAUGGCAUAAGCCAGCUUGACUGCGAGCGUGACGGCGCGAGCAGGUGCGAAAGCAGGUCAUAGUGAUCCGGUGGUUCUGAAUGGAAGGGCCAUCGCUCAACGGAUAAAAGGUACUCCGGGGAUAACAGGCUGAUACCGCCCAAGAGUUCAUAUCGACGGCGGUGUUUGGCACCUCGAUGUCGGCUCAUCACAUCCUGGGGCUGAAGUAGGUCCCAAGGGUAUGGCUGUUCGCCAUUUAAAGUGGUACGCGAGCUGGGUUUAGAACGUCGUGAGACAGUUCGGUCCCUAUCUGCCGUGGGCGCUGGAGAACUGAGGGGGGCUGCUCCUAGUACGAGAGGACCGGAGUGGACGCAUCACUGGUGUUCGGGUUGUCAUGCCAAUGGCACUGCCCGGUAGCUAAAUGCGGAAGAGAUAAGUGCUGAAAGCAUCUAAGCACGAAACUUGCCCCGAGAUGAGUUCUCCCUGACCCUUUAAGGGUCCUGAAGGAACGUUGAAGACGACGACGUUGAUAGGCCGGGUGUGUAAGCGCAGCGAUGCGUUGAGCUAACCGGUACUAAUGAACCGUGAGGCUUAACCUU